UACGUAGGGGGCGAGCGUUGUCCGGAUUCAUUGGGCGUAAAGAGCUCGUAGGCGGCUUGGCAAGUCGGGUGUGAAAACUCCAGGCUCAACCUGGAGACGCCACCCGAUACUGCCAUGGCUUGAGUCCGGUAGGGGACCACGGAAUUCCUGGUGUAGCGGUGAAAUGCGCAGAUAUCAGGAGGAACACCGGUGGCGAAGGCGGUGGUCUGGGCCGGCACUGACGCUGAGGAGCGAAAGCGUGGGGAGCGAACAGG
rnacentral:rRNA from 1 species